UUCCACUCAGGCAUGAAUGCACCCAUAAUGGACUUGACUGUCACGAAGCGCUCAUAUCCAUUCAGCAUGCGUCGAAUGGUUUCCACAGGUACGUGGUGUUUGCUGCGCCUGCAAGUGGCAGUGAUACACAAAAUAGACAACUCACAGAAAUUUAGUGUUGUUGUGAUUCGUCUUAUCUCACUCACCUUUGUAGCUCUCUGGGCUUGUUCUUCCACCAAGUGUCGGGUUCUCGAAACAGCACUUUAUAAUUAUGUUUCAGUGCCUAACAUGAGAAGCAUCAAAGCAUUUUUAAAAAGCAAAAUUACACUUAAAGCAUACAUAUAUGAUGAUGUUUUAGUUUAUCACAGGUAUUAGUAAGAGGCUGACUGACCUGGGCCACAUAGGGUUUCAUCUCCCACCCCUGCAUGUUUGUAUUAUCAAUUAUGAUGGGAUUGGCGCCCCUCUCAAAAGCUUCUUUGGCUAUUGGGUAAAGGUCAAAUGAGACAUACAUAACAAAAUACAUUCAGUGGGGGGAAAGCAUCUGAGCAUCUUUUAGUGCUGCCGUGGUUACACUGUAUACACUGUACACUGUAUAACCAAGUUAUACAGUGGACCCAAACAACGUUGAACAAAAUGGUUUACAUGAUUCCAGUUGUAAAAUCAUCAUCAUCAUGUUGUAAAUCAUCGCACAUUUUGACAUUCUGCAUACCAUUUUUAACAUUUAAAAAAGCAACACAUACAGUUAGUCACUUAGAUGCUCACUGAACUCAGUAUCACAUGAUUUGCUUAUUUGAUUUUUUAGGCAUAUUUUUACUUUGACUUUUGGGGUGUUCAACAUAUGGAGGUUCCACUGUACUUUACUUCUGACACCUGCAUCCCUUUUAAUUAAUCAGAACUAAUGCUAGUCUGUUUUUUUUUACCUCGCAUGUGAUUCCACUCAUGAGCUUGCCCAAGAGCAGUGGGGUCAAAGUGAUAAUGUCCUUGACGAGUGAAGUAGUCAUCAGUACUCAGUGCAACUGCCCCUGGGUUAUGUUCUACUAAAGCUCUGGAGACAGCCAACGUGGUUUUGCCGGAUCCUGGUGCGCCACGUAUCAACACGAGCACCCACCCUUCCAAAGAAAGCCUGCUUGAGCGACUGGGGGGCUGUGCUGCACCAGCCAUGGGUCUGGAGGUGGCAAUAUUAGCAGAAGGUCGAAGAGGGGCUUGACUUCUCCACGGAGAAGGAUCCCUAUCACGACUUGGCCAGUUCAAAGGUGCAGCAGGUGUGAUGAAGCAUGGUGGCCUCUGGUUUCCAUGAAAGCUGGGAGUGAAGGCAGGUGAAUUAAGGUUCCAUGGUGUUGCGGUUGUCUGAGAUCUUCCGACUGUAUUUUCAGAAUUGAUAUGUGAUGACCCGUUCUUUUUAUACAUCUGGAACGCAGAGGGACGUUCUGCAGAUGCAAGAUUCAGAGAGGUUUGUGACCCGUCCACAGGUUGAUCUGUUCUUAAAUAUGGGAAAUCCACAACCAACUUCCGGGCCUCAGUGCUGAGCGGGUCCAUUGGAGAGCAGGUAUCAGACUGCACCAAGUGACCGGCUGAGCCCCGCCCACACUGAUUGAAAUGAGGCAGCUCAGGGAAGACCUGCUGUGAUUGAGGUAAGGAAAGUGGGAUGCCGGCUUCCUGUUGAGCAGUCAGAUUUUGGACCUCCUGCUCAACCUCAAAGUCCAACUCUUCUGUUAGCAAGCUGGUGGAUAAUGGAGAGGUGACUUGCUCUGAGACAGCGUCUGGUGCAGGUUUGGAAACAUGACUAGGACUAAGCAGGGCUGCAGCAGUGCGCUCAAAUCCAGAAAUGGGCAAUAAAACAGGGGUUGCAAGUUCAGCAGCAAUUGACAAUUCCAAGAGGGCGUCCAUUGCACUUUCAACUGCAAGACAAAAGUUUGUGGUCCAAAAAAAAACAACUAUGAGAAGUUGAUGUACAGUACAUCCACACAGACCUCUCAUAGCCAACAGCAACAUUCCAUGGCAUCAAAACAGGAAUUCCGAACAUUCUACCAUUUCCAUUACUAUAAAUAAAUCAUUUCUACAACCCAGUCAGUCAAGGAAAUGAAGUUAAAUAGCCAUUCAUUGUUUAUAUACAGUCAUGUGGAAAAAAUUAUGACAUCCCAUUGGGUGUUUUGGCCUGUGUGCUUGUUUGUUUGCAUAACUAUGACACUGCUGCAUGAAUGUGCUUAUUUUGAGUCAUCCUAAUUAUUUCUAUUGUGAAGUUGAGGGCUGUCGUUAAUUACUUACUGCGAGAUGAGGAUUGUAAUUAAUGAAAUGACACAUCUUUAUUAAUCACACUAUUUAUUUCUAUUUUAAGAUGUGUCUGUUAUCAAAAGAACUUGUGAGCAGAAAUCUCAAGUUCUUAACGUUAUUCUGUUAUGCUAGGAGUCCACUGGGCCGGCGCCAGUUCGCGCCACAGAUUAUCUGAUUCGUGCAUAGUGGCUCGCUGUGGCGCCACAGGAAGCUGGCCCAGUGGACUCCUACUAUCAUUGGCGCAACUUGGCUCACGCCAUUACAUUCCAGUGGAUUCCAAUAGGCGGAUUGUUUGGUUCCACUAGGUGGACACAUUGCGCCGAUUGCUUGAUGCUUGAAGAUUUUAAACAUUUUUAAAUUUUCAUACCGCCAAACUAAUUUUUUUUCGCUGUUACGGGCCACAACAAGCCAGUUGGGAGGCAGUUUGAGCCAUGCACGCCACUAGGCACCUUAUUGGCGACACUAGGCUUCACAGCAAAUUGCAUUGGCACCAACUGGCGCCAGCCAGUGGACUCUUAGCAUUACAUUGCACGUGCACACGCGCAAGCAACCUUACCCUCUCCUGGUCCACCUCUUCCAAAGGAGGAGUGUAGCACAGAUUGGCGAACUCACGCUUACCCAACGUGCCAGGUUUUAGGUGUGGAUUAGACCCAAACAUGGUGCAAUUGACCUAGUGUCCCAUUUGUCCACUGUAAGUCCUGCUUGUGCUCAUCCAAAUACAUGAUUUGGUUUUGUUUUUUUACAGGCAACUGCACAGCCCUCUAAAGCUCUACUAAACUCUCCUGAAGUUAGUGUAUUGUGACUGUAAAGUACAUUCAGGUUGAUAAAUCACAUGGCACAACGGCAACCACACCAUAUGAGUAACUGUAAAGUGGCAUAAAAAGGUCAAAAGUCAAAGCAAUCAAGGCUUCCUGCCACAAACAAACUUGUUCCACAAGAUCGGAAGUUAAGCAAACAGACCUCCACAAGGCUGAUUCAGUAUUAGAUAUUUUAAACCUCGAAUAAGUGCACAUCAAUGUGCAUUGAGUCAACAUAGAGGUGUAUUCAAGUGUUUUGACUAUAUGGACGCAAUCAUACUUUCAUUAAAAUGCACUACAGCCAUGUGUAAGUCGUUUGCAUGCUUGGAAUAGUUGUGUUCUUUUUCGUUCGUUUUAGUGCUAUUGUUGUCAGCAAAAUGAAGUAGUUUCUAUUCGAGAGCUAUCCAGCUAAUACAAGAAAGCAUGUUUUAAUUUUACAGUACCUUUAAAGUCACACUCAGCCAGCACCAUGUGUAUAACUUCUGGGUCCAAAUGGGAAAACAUCUCUCGCAUGUUUUGGGUGAUUUCGGAGCCUGCUUUGCUGUUGGAAAAGUUGGAAGCCAUUGCGCCAGCGGAAUCCCUAGCGAGGCUUUCCCCCACUAGCUCCCAGUCGGGGACUCUGGUCGGGCUGUGUCCGUUUUUCUUCCUGCGAGGCAUGACGCCUUCGAGGUCAAUCCGUCACUUGUUAGCAGCUAGGGCUAACUUGAAAUGUGGCCACAAAUACUGACUAAGUUCACACAUUUGUAGGAAGAAAGGGGCGCUUCUGGAUGGCAAAACGCGGAUCUCCAUGUACCCUAAAUAAUUAAUGUAAAUGUGUAAUAUCAACAUCAAGAGAAAGGAACUAUCAGAAGAAAACAAAAACAACAGAAAGUCCGCGUCUGGUCGACUCCGGAAGUUGUA